rnacentral:rRNA from 1 species
UGGUAGUCCACGCUGUAAACGAUGUCGAUUUGGAGGUUGUGCCCUUGAGGCGUGGCUUCCGGAGCUAACGCGUUAAAUCGACCGCCUGGGGAGUACGGCCGCAAGGUUAAAACUCAAAUGAAUUGACGGGGGCCCGCACAAGCGGUGGAGCAUGUGGUUUAAUUCGAUGCAACGCGAAGAACCUUACCUACUCUUGACAUCCAGAGAACUUAGCAGAGAUGCUUUGGUGCCUUCGGGAACUCUGAGACAGGUGCUGCAUGGCUGUCGUCAGCUCGUGUUGUGAAAUGUUGGGUUAAGUCCCGCAACGAGCGCAACCCUUAUCCUUUGUUGCCAGCGGUUCGGCCGGGAACUCAAAGGAGACUGCCAGUGAUAAACUGGAGGAAGGUGGGGAUGACGUCAAGUCAUCAUGGCCCUUACGAGUAGGGCUACACACGUGCUACAAUGGCAUAUACAAAGAGAAGCGACCUCGCGAGAGCAAGCGGACCUCAUAAAGUAUGUCGUAGUCCGGAUUGGAGUCUGCAACUCGACUCCAUGAAGUCGGAAUCGCUAGUAAUCGUAGAUCAGAAUGCUACGGUGAAUACGUUCCCGGGCCUUGUACACACCGCCCGUCACACCAUGGGGAGUGGGUUGCAAAAGAAGUAGGUAGCUUAACCUUCGGGAGGGCGCUUACCACUUUGUGA